rnacentral:tRNA from 1 species
CAUUGAAUGGCUGAAGUAAAAGCAAUGGUCUCUUAAACCAAUUAAUAGUUGAAAACUUUCAAUGG